UAUGGUCAUAUAAGGUUGAACACCCGUUCUCGUGCGAUCACAAAAGUUAAGCAACGUCGAGCCUUGUCAGUACCUAGAUGAAUGAUCGCUUGUGUAUACCAGGUGAUGUAAG